rnacentral:rRNA from 1 species
UACAGAGGGUGCGAGCGUUAAUCGGAAUUACUGGGCGUAAAGCGUGCGUAGACGGUUAUUUAAGUCGGGUGUGAAAGCCCCGGGCUCAACCUGGGAAUUGCAUUCGAGACUGGAUAGCUAGGGUACGGUAGAGGGAAGUGGAAUUUCCGGUGUAGCGGUGAAAUGCGUAGAUAUCGGAAGGAACAUCAGUGGCGAAAGCGAUUUCCUGGACCAGUACCGACGUUCAGGCACGAAAGCGUGGGGAGCAAACAGG